AGAGGGUGCGAGCGUUAAUCGGAUUUACUGGGCGUAAAGCGUGCGUAGGCGGCUUUUUAAGUCGGAUGUGAAAUCCCUGAGCUUAACUUAGGAAUUGCAUUCGAUACUGGGAAGCUAGAGUAUGGGAGAGGAUGGUAGAAUUCCAGGUGUAGCGGUGAAAUGCGUAGAGAUCUGGAUGAAUACCGAUGGCGAAGGCAGCCAUCUGGCCUAAUACUGACGCUGAGGUACGAAAGCAUGGGGAGCAAACAGGAUUAGAUACCCUGGUAGUCCAUGCCGUAAACGAUGUCUACUAGCCGUUGGGGCCUUUGAGGCUUUAGUGGCGCAGCUAACGCGAUAAGUAGACCGCCUGGGGAGUACGGUCGCAAGACUA
rnacentral:rRNA from 1 species